CUUUCUAUGAUGAUUGCAGCUCGUCACUUCAUGAUCAAGUGAGCCAGUGCUCACAGUGACUCUGCCAAGUAAUCGUGACUGUGCAUGUCUUAGGUUGUCCCGGGUGUCAAGGUGGGAUCUUACCCGUCGUUGGCUAACCAGGCUUCCAUACUGGCUUAUUGCAGGAUGCCGUGCCUGGGAUACAAUCAAUCCCCACCCAUAAAGUGGAAUAGAUCGAAAAGUCGAGGGAUGGAGAGACUUCAGUCCCAGCUACCCAUGCAGCGAAGUGUGUGCGCAAUGGAGACACAGCAGGGCGAUUAACCUGUGUUUGUGAGGCGGCGGAUGAUGACGCCAAUCUGAAACCCUACCUCCAGGGCCUCCAGCGGCCCCUACUCUGCCAUCAGCCUAAAAGGCGGCACGCCUCCCCCACCAGCCUCCCCCAAAACAGCAGGGCAGGUACAGCGAACCACCCUUCUCCUCCACUCCCUCCGGCGGCACCCUGGGGGCCUCCCAGGACUACGCCACCUCCUCCAGCUCAGACGGGGCGCACGGCAGACGUUUCCGCCGCAAAUCGGCCGGCAUUAACGACCGCCCCCACGCCAAACAGCCCCCUCUUACCCCCCGCCACACCGCCGGGGAAGUUCUGCUCACCCUGCCUGGAGAGACUGCUCCAGGCCAAGGACAGCGUUGUCAGUGGCAGGAGGGUCCAGGUGGGAGAGGGGGAGGGUGAGCCGCCAGCUGCUUUACCUGAAGCAUGUGCAGAGGCGUCACCGUCGGUAAGACUAGUGAGGAAUCAGUAGUCUGGAGAGCAAGGGUCUGUGACACCAAACAGAGCAGCACGGUGAGCAUUCUGAUGCAUUUAUUGUGUUCUUUGUAUGCUUCAGGAAACUCGGAAUAGGCAAUAGAAAUCAAAACAAUAAAUAUGGAAAUUAUGUAAAACUGUUUCCUAAUGAAUCAUUUUACACAAUGUACAAUUUCUUCAUUUCCACAACUCCACUGGUUUCCAUAACCUAUACACUUUUCCAAACAAAAUAAACAACUCCAUGCAAAUACCCUUAAAAUGGGAGGUGGAGUAAUGAAAACUGGAAAAAUAAAAAAAUAAAAUCUUCAGUACACUGCUGAGUCAAUACAACGGUUCAUUGUUUUAAAAUAAC